GGAGAGAUGGCCGAGUGGUUGAUGGCUCCGGCCUUGAAAACCGGUAUAGUAAAAAACUAUCGAGGGUUCGAAUCCCUCUCUCUCCU
rnacentral:tRNA from 1 species